AUUGAACGCUGGCGGCAGGCCUAACACAUGCAAGUCGAGCGAGCGGCGGACGGGUGAGUAAUGUAUGGGGACUGCCCGAUAGAGGGGGAUAACUACUGGAAACGGUGGCUAAUACCGCAUACUAUCGGAUAACCCAUAUGGGAUUAGCUUGUAGGUGGUGUAAAGGCUCACCUAGGCGACGCUCUCUAGCUGGUCUGAGAGGAUGAUCAGCCACACUGGGACGUGGCCACGGCCCAGCCUCCUACGGAGGCAGCAGUGGGGAAUAUUGCAACAUGGGCGCAAGCCUGAUGCAGCCAGCCCGCGUGUAUGAAGAAGGCCUUAGGGUUGUAAAGUACUUUAAUCGGGGCGGCGUUACCCGCAUAAGAAGCCCCGGCUAACGACGUGCCAGCAGCCGCGGUAAUAC
rnacentral:rRNA from 1 species